rnacentral:rRNA from 1 species
GACGAACGCUGGCGGCGUGCCUAAUACAUGCAAGUAGAACGCACAGUUUAUACCGUAGCUUGCUACACCAUAGACUGUGAGUUGCGAACGGGUGAGUAACGCGUAGGUAACCUGCCUGGUAGCGGGGGAUAACUAUUGGAAACGAUAGCUAAUACCGCAUAAUAUUAAUUAUUGCAUGAUAAUUAAUUGAAAGGUGCAAUUGCACCACUACCAGAUGGACCUGCGUUGUAUUAGCUAGUAGGUGAGGUAACGGCUCACCUAGGCGACGAUACAUAGCCGACCUGAGAGGGUGAUCGGCCACACUGGGACUGAGACACGGCCCAGACUCCUACGGGAGGCAGCAGUAGGGAAUCUUCGGCAAUGGACGAAAGUCUGACCGAGCAACGCCGCGUGAGUGAAGAAGGUUUUCGGAUCGUAAAGCUCUGUUGUAAGAGAAGAACGUGUGUGAGAGUGGAAAGUUCACACUGUGACGGUAUCUUACCAGAAAGGGACGGCUAACUACGUG